rnacentral:rRNA from 1 species
AGCAGCCGCGGUAAUACCAGCUCCAAUAGCGUAUAUUAAAGUCGUUGCAGUUAAAAAGCUCGUAGUUGAAUUUCGGGGCUAGUAGGUUGGUCAUGCCUCUGGUAUGUACUGGUCUCACUGAUUCCUCCUUCCUGAUGAACCUUAAUGCCAUUAAUUUGGUGUUUUGGGGAAUUUGGACUGUUACUUUGAAAAAAUUAGAGUGUUUAGAGCAAGCUAACGCUUGAAUACAUUAGCAUGGAAUAAUGAAAUAGGACGUUCGAUCCUAUUUUGUUGGUUUCUAGGAUUGACGUAAUGAUUAAUAGGGAUAGUUGGGGGCAUUAGUAUUCAAUUGUCAGAGGUGAAAUUCUUGGAUUUAUUGAAGACUAACUACUGCGAAAGCAUUUGCCAAGGAUGUUUUCAUUAAUCAAGAACGAAAGUUAGGGGAUCGAAGACGAUCAGAUACCGUCGUAGUCUUAACCAUAAACUAUGCCGACUAGGGAUCGGAUGAUGUUAAUUUUUUAAUGACUCA